AUAUUAGGCCCAACUAAAGC
rnacentral:snRNA from 1 species